GACGAACGCUGGCGGCGUGCUUAACACAUGCAAGUCGAGCGGACAGGCCCGGCUUUUGUGCGGUGCACGAUUGGCGAAGGGGGGAGUAACACAUGAGUAACAUCUACCUGAAAGUGGGGGAAAACUAGGAAACUCGGGAUCAUAUACCGUAGGAUCUCUUGCAGCGCAUGGGGGGAUAGAGAAUGUCGGCGGUGCGGGCUCGACUCGCGGCUUAUCAGCUGGUUAGUCGGGUAGUGGCUGCCCAGGGCUAUGACGGGUAGCCGGCGUGGGAGGGUGGCCGGGCACAUUGGUACUGAGAGACGCCCCAGAAUCCUACGGGAGGCAGCAGUGGGGAAUAUUGCACAAUGGGCGGAAGCGUGAUGCAGCAACGCCGCGUGCGGAAUGACGGCCUUCGGGUUGUAAACCACUUUGGCAUGUGCCGAAGCGUGAGUGACGGUAAUUGGUAAGGAAGCACCGGCUAACUACGUG
rnacentral:rRNA from 1 species